rnacentral:rRNA from 1 species
UACGAGAGGCCCAAACGUUAUUCGGAAUUACUGGGCUUAAAGAGUUCGUAGGCGGCGCAGAAAGUAGGGUGUGAAAGCCCUCGGCUCAACCGAGGAAUUGCGCUCUAAACUACUGUGCUUGAGGGACCUAGAGGUGAGCGGAACUGAUGGUGGAGCGGUGAAAUGCGUUGAUAUCAUCAGGAACACCGGAGGCGAAGGCGGCUCACUGGGGGUCUUCUGACGCUGAGGAACGAAAGCCAGGGGAGCGAACGGGAGUUAGAAACCCGG